UCUUUUUGGAGAGCUCCCUUUUGCCCUACCCUUUUGAUUGCGCUCUGUCUCUCUCCCCCAUCUCUCCACCUCCUCUCUCCUUUCUCCCUCCCUCUCUCCCUCUCUCUCUUUCCUUUUUUCUUUCUUUCUUUCUUUUCUCUCUCUCUCUCCCUCCUUUCUUUCUUUCUUUCUUUCUUUCUUUCUUUCUUUCUUUCUUUCUUUCUUUCUUUCCAUUCUUUCCAUUCUUUCUUUUCUUCCUUCCUUUCCUUUUGUGGAAAAAGUAGCCGUUCUUUAUAAGAAUAAAAUCACAUCCUUUGCCUUUUCACUUUCUCCCUCCAUCUUCCUCCCUCUCUCUUGUACCCUCAGAUCGCCACGCUUUGGACCUCCCACGAAUGGUUUGAACCUGAGGCAUGAAUUGAGCUUGACUCCCUUGAGGGAGAGUUGCGAGAGGCACUCAUUUCCCAGAAGACAGAAAGCCCCAA
rnacentral:lncRNA from 10 species